ACAUGCAAGUCGAGCGGUAACAGAAAGUAGCUUGCUAUUUUGCUGACGAGCGGCGGACGGGUGAGUAAUGCUUGGGAACAUACCUUGAGGUGGGGGACAACAGUUGGAAACGACUGCUAAUACCGCAUAAUGUCUACGGACCAAAGGGGGCUUAGGCUCUCGCCUUUAGAUUGGCCCAAGUGGGAUUAGCUAGUUGGUGAGGUAAUGGCUCACCAAGGCAACGAUCCCUGGCUGGUUUGAGAGGAUGAUCAGCCACACUGGAACUGAGACACGGUCCAGACUCCUACGGGAGGCAGCAGUGGGGAAUAUUGCACAAUGGGCGAAAGCCUGAUGCAGCCAUGCCGCGUGUGUGAAGAAGGCCUUCGGGUUGUAAAGCACUUUCAGUCAGGAGGAAAGGGUGUGAGUUAAUACCUCACAUCUGUGACGUUACUGACAGAAGAAGCACCGGCUAACUCCGUGCCAGCAGCCGCGGUAAUACGGAGGGUGCGAGCGUUAAUCGGAAUUACUGGGCGUAAAGCGUACGCAGGCGGUUUGUUAAGCGAGAUGUGAAAGCCCCGGGCUCAACCUGGGAACUGCAUUUCGAACUGGCAAACUAGAGUGUGAUAGAGGGUGGUAGAAUUUCAGGUGUAGCGGUGAAAUGCGU
rnacentral:rRNA from 1 species